rnacentral:rRNA from 1 species
GAAGGAUCAUUACCGAGUGCGGGUCCUUUGGGCCCAACCUCCCAUCCGUGUCUAUUAUACCCUGUUGCUUCGGCGGGCCCGCCGCUUGUCGGCCGCCGGGGGGGCGCCUUUGCCCCCCGGGCCCGUGCCCGCCGGAGACCCCAACACGAACACUGUCUGAAAGCGUGCAGUCUGAGUUGAUUGAAUGCAAUCAGUUAAAACUUUCAACAAUGGAUCUCUUGGUUCCGGCAUCGAUGAAGAACGCAGCGAAAUGCGAUAACUAAUGUGAAUUGCAGAAUUCAGUGAAUCAUCGAGUCUUUGAACGCACAUUGCGCCCCCUGGUAUUCCGGGGGCAUGCCUGUCCGAGCGUCAUUGCUGCCCUCAAGCCCGGCUUGUGUGUUGGGUCGCCGUCCCCCUCUCCGGGGGGACGGGCCCGAAAGGCAGCGGCGGCACCGCGUCCGAUCCUCGAGCGUAUGGGGCUUUGUCACAUGCUCUGUAGGAUUGGCCGGCGCCUGCCGACGUUUUCCAACCAUUU